rnacentral:misc_RNA from 1 species
AAAACAAACAAUCAGCAGACAGAAAAAUCAAAAAAUGAACAAAUAAUCCUGAUAACGAAGGACGAGGUGGAGUGGCCAUGCCUCCCGUCAUCGUCCAGCUCGAGAUUAAGAGCAGGGAUAGACCCCUUUUUGGUUGUGUGUAGAUGCUUCAGCUUCGCACGGCUCUCAUUGCCAUUCUCUGCGUUGCCGUCAACGUUCUCUCCGCCAUCCGGUCCUUCAAGGAAGGACUCGAUAUAUUCGAUGGGAUUUUUCGGUGUUACGCGGUGGUGAUUGGAAAAAGAAAAAUCCUCCUGCUCCCGAGUUAAACUAUUUUCUUUUUAUAUAUUUAUAUAUUGUUAUACCAAAUUCUUUCAGUUAUUAUUUGGACUCAUAACUGUAAGUAUCUUAAAACUCCCCAACUUUUUUUGGUUGAGGUUCUUUAUUAUUUUUUUGAUAC